GAGCCCUCAGACGGUGGAGCUGCUGGCUGGUCCACUGGAAACGCUGAUCAGACCUUUGGACUCAGCGGAGCCGAGCUGGAGAAGCCAAAUUGACUCAGAUUAAAUCCCCCAGGCAUAAAAUCACAAAGAGUUUUUGUUAGAUGCUGAUUGGGAAGGAGGAGCCCCAGAGGUCUGGGGAAAGGGUAGGACAUCUGGGAAUAGAGAAAUGAGGGAGAGGCAAGAACUGUGCCUAGAACAUUAGCCAGGGAUUGCCUGGAGCUGCUUUGGUGGGAUGGAAAAGUGAGUCCAGAUUCUUAUCUGACCUCCACCAAGAUUCUUUCAUUCAGUCCACAGACAUUUAUUAAGCGCCUAGGAUGUGCCAGGCCCCGUUCUGGGUGCUAGAGAUGGGGCAGACAAGGCUGCCGACUUCCCAGCGCUCACACCCUAGCGGGGGAGACUGUAACGCCAAAGAAGUUAAGAUGUCAGAAGUGGAAGUUACUGAAAGACGGCACUGGCUGGCUGGCUGGCUUGCUGAAGCUACUUUGUCAAGGCCUUUGAAGCUCUCCUUUGUCGAAAUCUUGACAAGAUCCGGGCAGGUAGAGGAUGUGUGUAUGUGGGGAGACAGUGUUAAGGAGAGAAAACAUGAAUCAGACCCACUUGCUACAAGUAAACCCAAAAUCCCUUGAUGAGUAGGACAAAAGGGGCCACAGAG
ensembl:lncRNA